rnacentral:tRNA from 1 species
UUGGAAAUGGGAUAUUCGAAAAGAAUUUUCAAGGAAAUUUUACGAACUUUAUAAUAUCGGAUUAUGUGAUA